CUCAAGCGGCCAGGAGGGCGGAGUUAAACAAGUUUCACAUCGAGUAGAGUGGACGACGGAUAGAUAUGAAUCCAGCCGGACUAUUUGACCCCUUGUGAGGGUUAAAGUGUUUUUUUUUUAUUAUUGUUUGAUAACGUUUAUAGCUCGUGGCGCGUCGUCAAAAUGAUGCGCUUCCUGCUGCUCUUCAGUCGCCAGGGAAAGCUGCGUCUGCAGAAGUGGUUCACGCCCAUGUCAGACAGGGAGAAGAAGAAGAUCAUCAGGGACAUGACCACCAUGGUGUUGGCACGGCAACCACGCUCCUGUAACUUUCUGCACUGGAAAGACCUUAAGAUUAUUUACAAGAGAUACGCCAGCUUGUAUUUCUGCCUGGCUAUAGAGAGCCAGGAGAAUGAGCUGCUAGCCCUGGAGGUUAUUCAUCGCUAUGUGGAGCUGCUGGACAAAUACUUUGGCAAUGUAUUUCACCAUUUUCCACCUUUUCCUUUUAUUCAAUAUACAUGUGUGUGUGAGCUGGACAUAAUCUUUAACUUUGAGAAGGCCUAUUUUAUCCUGGAUGAGUUUCUAAUGGGAGGAGAGAUACAAGAAACCUCCAAACAGGUUGUGAAUCGCUGUAUUGAAUCCUCAGACAUGUUGCAGGAGUGUUACUGCGAGUGAGAGACAGAUUUCCCUGGAACGUGGCGUAGGUCUUAGUUUUUUUGGCUUGUGCCUCCCACUCUCCCUGUAGGUCCGUGGCUCUGUGUGGUACAGUAGUUUAACUGGGAUGACAGCAGUGAGUGGUAUGAGGUGGAGCUGUUUGGAUGACCUUGUCUGAAUAUGGACAGAAAGACCAUGGAGGAGUAUAUGAGUAAACCUGCAUUUUAACCCAUGGAAAAGGGACAUAAAGGGGAGGAAUACAGGAACCAAAUGUACUGUAUAUGAGUCAAAGAAGUUUCUGAAUAUGGAAAUGGGAUUAACUUUGAUUCUACCAAACAUUUUCCAAAAAAGAGAUGUGUGUAUUGAAUGUUUGCUCGCUUUCUGCCUUAAACAUUGCUGCAGUAUAACUUCAUUUGAGAGUAAGUCUAAUAUUUGUUCAUAGUCAUGCAUUCAAGUGAAGGGGGGGGUGGAUGGGGGAAUGUUUUUUUCAUUGCUGUUAUUAAAAUGUAAAUGAAGUAAUAAUAGAGUAUCUGGGAUAUGGAAAAAAUAGCGAUGAAGUGAUUUUAGAUUUACAAAUUUGUUGCAUUUAUACUUAAAUCACACAUUAUUAACAUGUUUGAAGUGAACGAUUUCAUUUCAAAAACACUACGGACUGAUUUUUGGAAAUUUGGUGCUGCCAUGCAACACCAGUUAAUAUUUCAAAGAACAAAUUUCACCCUCAAAAACAACAGAUUUCUGUGGAGUUAAAGUGAUUAGCUUUUAUAUCAUCAAGAACUAAUUUUGAAUGAGACAAAUUAUGAUACAUUUUAUACUGUUUUUAAUCUGUGUGACAUAUUACUCAUGUGUGGGAUCAUUACUCUUUAAAAGCAGAUGCUGUUGUGGGUGUGAAUGUCACUGUUUUUCAUAAUGUGAAAUUUAUGAUGUUUGAGCUUAUGAUUAAAAUAUGUAUUUUGAUAAACAG